CAGUCGAACGGACUUACAUUGAAGCCUAGCGAUAUGUAAGUUAGUGGCGGACGGGUGAGUAACGCGUGGGUAACCUGCCUUGUACUGGGGGACAACAGUUGGAAACGACUGCUAAUACCGCAUAAGCGCACAGCUUCGCAUGAAGCAGUGUGAAAAACUCCGGUGGUACAAGAUGGACCCGCGUCUGAUUAGCUGGUUGGUGAGGUAACGGCCCACCAAGGCAACGAUCAGUAGCCGGCCUGAGAGGGUGAACGGCCACAUUGGGACUGAGACACGGCCCAAACUCCUACGGGAGGCAGCAGUGGGGAAUAUUGCACAAUGGGGGAAACCCUGAUGCAGCAACGCCGCGUGAGUGAAGAAGUAUUUCGGUAUGUAAAGCUCUAUCAGCAGGAAAGAAAAUGACGGUACCUGACUAAGAAGCCCCGGCUAACUACGUGCCAGCAGCCGCGGUAAUACGUAGGGGGCAAGCGUUAUCCGGAUUUACUGGGUGUAAAGGGAGCGUAGACGGUUUUGCAAGUCUGAAGUGAAAGCCCGGGGCUUAACCCCGGGACUGCUUUGGAAACUGUAGGACUAGAGUGCAGGAGAGGUAAGUGGAAUUCCUAGUGUAGCGGUGAAAUGCGUAGAUAUUAGGAGGAACACCAGUGGCGAAGGCGGCUUACUGGACUGUAACUGACGUUGAGGCUCGAAAGCGUGGGGAGCAAACAGGAUUUAGAUAC
rnacentral:rRNA from 1 species